GCAUGCAGGUGGUUUGUUUAAGUUCAGAUGUGAAAGACCCGGGGCCGUCAACCUACCGGAAUAAGCAUUUGUAAACUAGGCAGACUAGAGUACUGUAGAGGGGGGUAGGAAGUUUACUAGGUGUAGCGGUGAAAUAGCGUAGAGAUCUGAAGGAAUACCGGUGGCGAAGGCGGCCCCCUCGGACAGAUACUGACACUCAGAUGCGAAAGCGUGGGGAGCAAACAGGAUUAGAUACCCUGGUAG
rnacentral:rRNA from 1 species